rnacentral:misc_RNA from 1 species
UCCGGUUUGUCACCGGCAGUCUCAUUAGAGUGCUCUUUCGUAGCAACUAAUGACAAGGGUUGCGCUCGUUGCGGGACUUAACCCAACAUCUCACGACACGAGCUGACGACAGCCAUGCAGCACCUGUGUAAAGGUUCUCUUUCGAGCACCCCCUGAUCUCUCAAGGGUUCCUUCCAUGUCAAGGGUAGGUAAGGUUUUUCGCGUUGCAUCGAAUUAAUCCACAUCAUCCACCGCUUGUGCGGGUCCCCGUCAAUUCCUUUGAGUUUUAAUCUUGCGACCGUACUUCCCAGGCGGCGUAUUUAUCGCGUUGGCUACGCCACAAAAGGGGUCGAUUCCUUUUACAGCAAAUACGCACCGUUUACAGCUAGGACUAC